rnacentral:lncRNA from 1 species
AAGAAUUCCAUGUGUUAAUCAUUGAAUUCUGAUUCUUGAGCAUGGAUGCAUUCCACAGAUCAUUCUGGUCUCCCUGGAGUCCUUGUACAUUGUCAACUGAGCAUCAUCGUUUGAAUAAAUCAGCAUAGGCUUGCAUAUGGUAGAAUAUAAGAUAAAUCCUGAAAUCUCUGUGGUGUAACACAGCACCGUGUUAUUACUCACCUGUGUGAAGUUCAGUCUAGAUUGGGUGGCCCUCCUUAAUCUUGUAACUACACCCUCUGCUCCAGGGGGAUUUCAGGGUCACUGCUAAAAGGGAAAAGAGAGAUUGAGGAGGCACAUUGGCUUUGACUGUUUUAGCCCAGAAGUAGCAUCAUCCUUUGGCCAGAACUGAUCACAUGGCCCCAGUAUACUGCAGAGAGGGGAGGAAAUGUAGGAUGCUCGAGGGAUGUUUGGUGAGCACCAACCAACUUUCUCUGCCACAUCGUUCUUACCACAAAAUAUUUGUAACUUGGAAGACUAGUGAGUGAUCUCCAUUCUUUCUGCAAAUCUUACUGACCGACAUGCUCGGGACCUGUUGGCACACGCUCGGCUAGUGGUUACUCCUGAGGUCCGCUCAUUCACUCUGUUCCCACCCCUCCAGCUGUGUGUUCUCCAGGGACUUCUUCUCAAGGCUUGAACAUGCCACUUCAGCUUCCUUGCCUCUCAAGUUCUUCACCUGUCAUUGCAGACAUUUGCUUCCUGUCCAGGGUGCCAGCUACAGAAGUCCUAUAUCUGCUGCUCUGAGGCCACUGCUGAGCCAUGGGCAGCGGCACAGCGCUCAGAGUGGAGCAGGCCCCCGCUGAAUUGAUGUUGUCCCUAUGACAGUGUGCCGCCCACUGUGACAGGCAGUGCCAAUGCAGAGACGAGAAGACUCAGACCCUGCUGGAGAUGUGGAGGGGAAGACAGACAAGAAAACCAGAAUGACAGCAGGCCUGGGGGGUCCACGAGGAGCCAGCCCCCAGCACAGAGGCACCUGGAUGCUGAGACACGGGGACAAUCUGCUUCGUCGUGUGUGUUCUCAUUGUCUAACCGGAGAUUGUCUCUUGCUUUCCAGCCUGAAUAAAUACAAAAC